rnacentral:rRNA from 1 species
CAGCGCCUACGGGGCGCAGCAGUGAGGAAUAUUGGUCAAUGGUCGGGAGACUGAACCAGCCAAGCCGCGUGAGGGAGGAAGGUACAGAGUAUCGUAAACCUCUUUUGUCAGGGAACAAAGACUGAGGCGCGUCCCCGGAUGAGUGUACCUGAAGAAAAAGCAUCGGCUAACUCCGUGCCAGCAGCCGCGGUAAUACGGAGGAUGCGAGCGUUAUCCGGAUUUAUUGGGUUUAAAGGGUGCGCAGGCGGUCUGUUAAGUCAGCGGUCAAAGCCCGGGGCUCAACCCCGGCCCGCCGUUGAAACUGG